GGGGUUGUAGCUCAGUGGUAGAGCGCUUGCCUAGCAUGUAUGAGGCCUUGGGUUCGAUUCCUAACACCACA
rnacentral:tRNA from 1 species